UCAUCCGGGGAUCUCCCCGGUGCACUCUUCUGUGGGCAGGCCAGCAUCAGUUCGGGCGGUUGGAGAAAGACCUGUGUCAUGUAGCUGUUCUCGGGCAGUGUUAUAGGGCAGGUGGAAUGCAACCAGCCUGAACUGAGGUCCGCGCUUUUGCUAGGAUGCUGGCGUAAUGGCUGUAAGCGGCCCGUCUUGAAACACGGACCAAGGAGUCUAACAUCUAUGCGAGUGUUUGGGUGUCAAGCCCGAGCGCGUAAUGAAAGUGAACGGAGGUGGGAACCCCUCGGGGUGCACCAUCGACCGAUCCUGAUGUCUUCGGAUGGAUUUGAGUAAGAGCAUAGCUGUUGGGACCCGAAAGAUGGUGAACUAUGCCUGAAUAGGGUGAAGCCAGAGGAAACUCUGGUGGAGGCUCGCAGCGGUUCUGACGUGCAAAUCGAUCGUCAAAUUUGGGCAUAGGGGCGAAAGACUAAUCGAACUAUCUAGUAGCUGGUUCCUGCCGAAGUUUCCCUCAGGAUAGCAGUAACGUUUUCAGUUUUAUGAGGUAAAGCGAAUGAUUAGAGGCCUGGGGGUUGAAACAACCUUCACCUAUUCUCAAACUUUAAAUAUGUAAGAAGUCCUUGUUUCUUAAUUGAACGUGGACAUUUGAAUGUAUCGUUACUAGUGGGCCAUUUUUGGUAAGCAGAACUGGCGAUGCGGGAUGAACCGAACGCGGGGUUAAGGUGCCAGAAUGCACGCUCAUCAGACACCACAAAAGGUGUUAGUUCAUCAG
rnacentral:rRNA from 1 species